rnacentral:sRNA from 1 species
AUGGCGAGGAGAAGGCUUGGUGCCACUGGAAGCGAGAAGGCACUGCCAGAAGGGAGAAGGCGCUGCUGGAAGAGAGAAGGUGUUGCCGUCCUCACAGUUGGAAAUUUUGGGUUUUAGUAAGAUAGAGAUUUCGGAUUUUAGAGAGACACAUAAAUUAGAUUUAAUUUGGGUUUGCCUUGUUUAAUGAAAUCAAGAAACUUUCUUAUCAAACAAAAAAGAUUUGAUUUGGGUUUAAAAAAGAAAAAAAACAUGAAGUAUUCGUGGGUUAGGGAUUUUGAUCCCAAAAAUUACUCACUUAUCUUUUUCUUUUCUUUUUUUAAAUAAAUUUUAAAUAAUAUUAAGAUUAUGCUAACAUUUUAGUUCAGGUGGUAGUUAAUGUGGCAAUAAACUAAUUUUUUAUUUUAACCGUUUGUAAUGACAACAAUUUCUAUCCAAGAGAUAAUGGCAAGAAUUAAAUUAACAUAGCACUGAAAGGUUAGAGACCAAUUAACACAAUUAAAAGGUUAUGAAUCAAAUUAAAAUACAGUGCAAAGGAUAAGAAGCAAAUAUAUAAUUUACUCGAAAUUUUAUGUUUUGAACAACUCUUUUUUCACAUUUAGUUUUUUUUUUUUUUGCUUAUAUUUCAAAUUUCAAUUUUUUUUUCUUCAUUUGAGGCAUCCAAAUGGCCUAACAAAUAUAUAAUUCUUUUCUAUAAAGCGUUUAUUUUUUGAUUGAAAGUUUUUGUUUAUAUAAUUAUUUGGAAUUAUAAUAAAUAUUAAUAAUGUUUUGUGCAAGUCAAACAAUAGAAAUUUUUUUUGGCUCAUUUUUAAGUUUACAACUAAUCACCAGAAACAACUUAUUUGGGAGAAAACAUUUUCAGUUCAAAUAAAUGGAUUGAGAGUUAUCCUACCAUAUAAGGGAUAUUUAAUAUGUGAAUGACCUAAACAAAAUGCUAAAAUUUUCACUAAUUUUAUUAUAAAAAAUGUACAAAAUAAUGUAACAAUGAAUAUUGAUUAAUGUAACAUUAAAAUUAUAAUAUAUAUAUAUAUAUAUAUAUAUAUGUAUAGAGAGAGAGAGAGAGAGAGAGAGAGAGAGAGAGACUAAGUUCAAGUUACACCUGGUGUAACUUGAAACAAUGUUAUACCACCCAAUAUUUUUUAAUUAAUUGUGAAUUUUGAUAAAUCUAUUGCUGGAUUAUGUUAUCUUCAUAUAUUCUCUAUACUUACAAAAUUUAAAGAUGAUAAAAGAUCAAUAGCCAUGUCAUCAAUCAAUUUUUUUGUUAGGACAUAUGCGUUUUCACUUGCUAAGAACAUCUGUCAUUUGUUUAUGUAAAUUGGCUAAUCCUUUGACAAAACGCACUCUACUUGUAAUUGGGUAGUUUUAGGCAUUUUUAAUAUUUCAAGAAACAAGGUUUCAAGAUCAAGUGUUGAAGUCAUCAAGUCUGUCCAAGAAAAACAAGCUGAAGUGCAAAUUCAUUAAAGCUCGACACCUUCUUGAUAGCUCCUCGACACCUUGCUAUUUGUCAAGAUUUAUAAAAUCAGAUUUUCUGAUCUGAUUUCUUGGGAUCCGUGAAUGCGUCUUUGGGAUUUCUUUUCUCCUAAUCCUAGAUAUAUGAAAGGAUUAUUUUAAGAGCCGUCAAAUUAUACACAAGUUGCACAAGUAUUGAGCAAACUCUGUUCAGGCAAUUUGUGAUCAAAGACGAAGUUCUUGACCUAGUUCAUCUCUUCUGAAGAAGUUGCUGUGUAUUUGCACCAAAUGGUUUUGUGACCAAGCAUCUUCCUAAUCUUCAUCGUGUAAGAUGAACUGAAGAACUUCGCAGCCAACCUCUCCUUCUAAGUUGGUGUUGAAGUCUCGUAUUGGGAUCUGCGCAUUGGUUAGUCACGUACUUGGGAGCCGUGCCUCAAAAGGGGGAACUGUCACUACAAAUCAAGUCCAAUUGGGUAUUGAGGUAAGGGUUCAACUGUAAGUUGGUAAGGUACUUGGGAUUCCUUUAUUUGUAACCGCUUGAUUUGAUAAUAGUGGAGUUUCGGGAGUGGUGACCUGAAAAUCACCCGGUAGGGUUUUUGCCGCAAGGGUUUUCCCAAUUCGUAAAUAAAUCACCGUGUUAUUUAAUUUCCGCUGCUUAAUUAGUUUAUUGGUGAUUUGUUUGUGCUUCCACGCGUUUGCAUGAUAAAUUGAUUAAUUAAUAAUUUGGCUAAUUAAAUAAUUGGUUUAAUCACAAGGGGUCAUUCAGUUUGUGGCCUAUCAUGUUUAAAAUCAAGUUUUUGUAGUUUAAAAUAAUGCAUAAAAAAUGAGUUUAUGAAUCGAAUAGUAAAUUACAUCUGAUUGGAAUGCAUAUUAAGAACAUAUUGAAUAUAUAAUUCAACAGUUGGAUUCUAAAAAUAUGAAAUCAAUAACACAUUACAAAAAAAAGGACUAUUGCGGCGGAUGCAAAAAACGCCGCUAUAUAUCGCCUAUUGCGGCCUUUUUUUGGACAGCCGCUGUACAUAGGAUCUAUUGUGGCGUUUUUUGGGACCGCGGCUAUAGUUAGUGUUUUUUACAGCGUCCUACAGCGGCGGGACAUAAAAUCGCCGUCAUAUAUAUGUUUUAGCGGCAGUAACAUAUAUAUAGCGGCGCUCCAGAAACCCGCCCCAAUAAAUACAUCAUUUUGCAUAGAUGCUAUAGUGGCGGUGGAGAAAAACCCCACAAUAUGCUACCUAUAGCGGCGGUUUGUAUGACCGCCACAAUAGGGAUACUUUUUGCGGUGCUUUUAUUAGUUAUAGCAGCGAUUUGGACCGUCGCAAUAGACCUUUUAAUUUCCCAACCCCACAAUUUCCUUCUAUUUUUUUCGCCUUCCCACUUAAAGAUCAAAUGGUAAAUUACACCCGAUCGGUACGAAAAUUGGCAUGCAUGUUAAGAACAUAUAGAUCAUGUAAUCCAACGGUUGGAUUUUCAAAAUAUGAAUUCAUGGAUAAGUUAUUGGUUGGUGUAACAUUUUUUAGAGUUACAUUAGGUGUAACUUGAACCCAACCCUAUUUUUCUUAAUUCAAUAUGAAUUUUGACAAAUUUACCGUUAGAUUACAUUAUCUUCAUAUAUUUGUAAUGAUUACAAAAUUUCAAGGUGAUCAAAGAUUAAUAGCCAUGUCAUCAAUCAAUUGUUUAAAUUCAAGUUUUUGUAGUUUAAAAUAACGCAUAAAAAAUGAGUUUAAAGGUCAAAUGGUAAAUUACACCUGAUUGGCAUGAAAAUUGGCAUGCAUGUUAAGAACAUAUAGAAAAUGUAAUCCAACGGUUGAAUUUUCAAAAUAUGAAUUCAAUAAUAAGUUAUUGGGCGGUGUAACAUUUUUUAGAGUUACAUUAGGUGUAACUUGAACCAAACCCUAUAUUCCUUAAUUCAAUGUGAAUUUUGACAAAUAUACCAUUAGAUUACAUUAUCUUGAUAUAUUUGUCAUGAUUACAAAAUUUCAAGGUGAUCAAAGAUUAAUAGCCAUGUCUUUAAUCAAUUGUUUAAAUUCAAGUUUUUGUAGUUUAAAAUAACGCAUAAAAGAUGAGUUUAAAGAUCAAAUGGUAAAUUACACCCAAUUGGCAUGAAAAUUGGCAUGCAUGUUAAGAACAUAUAGAAAAUGUAAUCCAACGGUUGGAUUUUCAAAAUAUGAAUUCAAUAAUAAGUUAUUGGGUGGUGUAACAUUUUUUUUUUUUUGCGGCGGGCAAAAAAAUGCCGCUAUAUGUCUCCUUUUUGCGGCACUUUUCUUAGUUAUAGCAGCGUGGUGUACCCCCUCCGCUAUAUGUCUCCUUUUUGCGGUGCUUUUUCUUAGUUAUAGCGGCGUGUUGGACCACCGCUAUAGAUCUUUAAAUUUCCCCCAAAAUUUUGCUCUGUUAUUUUUGUCUUCCCUCUUAUUAGGUUUCCUUUUCCCACUUACUCCAAACUCUCACUCUCUCCAAAUUUCCGCUGCCGUCAACUCUCUUCGAAUUGCAUCGGCGACCCUUCGCCUUCCUUCACACCGGCAACCCUUUGCCUUCCUUCGCCUCCCCUUUGCAUCGGGGACCCCUCACUUCCCUUCAUUGUUCCUACAUCAACCUCAGCACCAUUGACCUCGAUGACAAUGACGCCACCGACGAGUCCCACGAUCUCCCUCUCAUCAAGGUAACUAAACUCUCUUUGUACCUAUAUAUAUAUAUAUAUAUAUAUAAGUUUUUUUUUUUUUUUUNUUUUUUUUUUUUUUUUUUUUUUUUUUUUUUUUUUUUUUUUCACUUAGAUUAGAUCCAUUCACUCAUAUAUUCCAUUUGUUUGAUCGUGUUUGGUGUUUUCCGAUUGGGUAUUCAUAGAACAAAACAUUACAAGUACAAUUUAGAUUUAAAGGGGUUUUUCGUUUGUGCGUGGAGUUUGUUAUUGUAUGAGAUGAUUGGACUUUUUCUAAUGUUUUAAGAUAUUCAUUUGCUUGUCAUUCUGGUUUGGAUAAAUGGAUAUGGAAUUAGAAAUAAAGGGUUAGAUUAUUUUUAUAUGGAAAAAUUUUACAUGGGUCCCGUUUGGUUGUGGAUUUUAUUUUUCUCCAUUGGGGUUUGUGGAUUUUAUAAUGUUGAACUGCAUAAUUUUUAGUUUAGUUCGGUGUUUCUUGUAAGCUAAUUUUAUGUGAAUGGUUUGAUCUUUUUUCUGUGUGUUUCCUUAAUCAGAGGAAUUAAAAUAUGUUUGUUAGUAUAGUUAUUAAAUCAAAUAUCUUAGUUUAAAAAGCAUAAAAUUUAACAAACAAGAAAUUAAAAACAUGUAAUGUAGUGUGCAUGUAAGUUUCAACAUGAACAUGUGUAGUGUGUGUGUUCUGUGUUUAUAAUGCAACCAUGUAAUGUAUAGGCGUGUGAAAUCUGUGUCCAAGCAAGCUAAUAUUAAUGUGUAUUCAAGCAAGCUAAUAUUAAUCUAUGUUUCCCCCUUUCUUUGGACUUGGGAUUGGUUGUGAGCAAAAUAUACUACACUAAGCACUAACAAAGGCAGAAUUAAUGUGUUAUGUAAUGUUAUUCUUUUUAUGAAAUUAUAUUGUCGUUGUAGUUUUUGAAAAAGAGGAUGGGACUUUGCUAGGUUGUAGUUGCAGCAAAGUUUUAGGUGAAAUAUUUAAGGUACUCUCUCUCUCUCUCUCUCUCUCUCUCUCUCUCUCUUUGGUUGUGGUGAGUUGUUGAAUUGGGGCAAGCAGGUGGCUUGUAUGGAGUAAUAUGGUGGUUUUAGCUGAUAUUGGAAAUGUUGAUUGUUUUGUGUAAUAUUGGAUGAUUCUUGUUGAGUUGUUUUUAUUUGAUUAAUUCAUUUUAGGCUAUUGCUAGUAAUGAUGUUAUAGUGAAAUUGUGUAAAUGAAAUGUGUGUUACCUCUUGCUUCAUGCUUUCAUGAAAUUACAUUAUAGGUAUUUCUUGUAAACCACUUUAUAGCAAUGGAUAGGAGUUGGAUGAAACUUACGAAUAGAAGGUCACGAGAAUAUUUAGAAUGGAGUCCAACAGUUUUUGAAUUUUGCAUCUAACCAUGCACACUUGGAUGGAAUGAUUUCAUAUCUGUGUAAACAAUGUGUGCAUACAGAGGCAUGGCCUAUAGAUGUCGUACGGCUCACUUAGUGUCAAAAGGGAUUUGUAGGGGUUAUAACCCUUGGGUUUUUAAUGGGGAAUCAUCAUUUGCACAUACUUCUUCUGAAAUUCCCAAUAGUCAUGUCCAAGAAAACCCGAUAGAGUACGCCGAUCUUCGUGACAUGUUGCACGACAUGUUCCCCAUACAAGAUAUGGCAUCUGGGCCAAUGGAAGAAGUCCCUAUUAUGCAAUAA